rnacentral:lncRNA from 1 species
GGGCUGUCCAUGUCACCUAAACCAUACCGAAUUAAAGUAUUAUUGCGCACUUGAUUGUGAUGAGGGCAACAGCUUUGCUUUCAAAACUCAAUGAUAAUGCAGUAUGAACUAAUGCAGUGAGAACUAAUCCAUGAACCUUGUGCGACUAUAUUGCAUCUGUCAGGAGAACCAUGCUGGGUUUUUUGCUUAUUAUGAUUUUUAAAAAUCACUCUGAUGACAGGUAUGAGAUUAGCUAGAGAGUGAAUUUAAUCCAGGCUCUUCAUGAGCAAGUUGCCCAUAUAUCUUUGAUGUUUUGUCUUGCAGGGCAUAGAACUAUGGGAGGAGGGGACAUGCAGAUGAGGGAAAGGGUGAAAGGGUCUUCUGCAGUACCAAGACCCUGAGCUGGUGGAGGGAAUUGCUGCUCUUAACUGGGUCUCCCGACAGGGGAGCCAACUUGAAUAAAAUACUGUGGGGGCCCAGGUAAGCCCCACACCGCAUAAUUGAUCACACGAUGCAGUGCACACACACCAUUUUAAUGGGAAGGCCCAUCAACUUUGUGGAGGCCCCUCAAAUAUUUUAUUGUGGGGGCCAAAGCCACCACAGCCCCUAGGCGUUGGCUCCUAUGUCUCCUGAUGUUACAUCUAAUGGCUUCUGUAAGAAGGUGACCCAGAGGUUUUUGAGCCCACAGCUUGAUGAACCACAUUCUUUCUGUGGCUCCCCUGUUGAAGCCACUUACACUGGGAUUCCAUUACAGGAAGUGGGGAUUUCCCCAUAAGAGAGAGAACGAAGCUAAGAAAUAAGGGGAAUGUGUACCUAAGCAAAGAGAUGAAAGCGAGAGACUGUUCCCUAGCAUGUGAAAGAGGGCAGAGAAAGAGACUGAGAGAUCUUACUCUGGAAGGUAUUUGGCACCAUUCUGAAACCUGGUGCCUGUGCUGAGCUGAUGUCAGCUGCAGUUGAAACCAUCCGGGCAGCACCAGCUUGGGGAAGAGGUUGCAAGGGGUUUGGCCUCAGGACUCUUCUCCACCCUUGCCUUCUUCCUACCUUGCAGUUUUUCUCUGGAGAAAUAGCAGUAGCAAAUGGAUAUACUUCCCCACAUAAAAAAUCCAUUGCUCUUGUAACAAGGUAGCUGUAAACUGUUACCUAAACAACUUUCCAUGGUUUCGUUAUUGUUGCCAGAAUCGGUUAUGGCUGAUGCAAGGCUGUUGCUUCUUGCAUGCAUCUGACAACAUGCGCUUGGGUCCUCUAUAGGCUAGGCCCAGAGCUUUCCCCCCCAGGGGGUACUCAAAGAUACGCAGUACUAGCACCUCUUUUGUUGCUCCUGUUAAGAAGUGUGACGCUUAGUGUUAACAACUUCAUGGUGACUACUUGCACCUAUUUUUCUAGGGGGAAAAAGCACUGGUUGGGCCAAAUAAAAUUUUUAGAUUUUUGAGAUGCCACCAGUCUUGUCAUUAUUUUAAACUAUGUUUGCCUUAUUGUUUCACAUUAGUUCAUUGAACAAUUGAUAGACAGCAGGGCCAGCUAUAUCUAUCAUGUAAGCCUAGGGUAUUCCACUAUUCUUAUGCGGGUAUUCUUAUGAGGCAAAAGCCAUUCACCUGGCCUGAACAAAAAGUUCAUUUAAAAAGCAAGUAGGUGGCAGAGGCAGUCACAAAACACAAUCUUUGACUUCAACCAGAAUGAAUGUGGAAAGAAUUUUCAAUAUUGCUUCUAAAAUAAAAUGUGUUGGCAGUUCUUUAUCCUCCUGAGGCUUGUUGAAUGCUUGAACCAGCCUUCCUCAACCUGCAGAUGUUUUGGACAACAGCUCUAAUCAUUCUUAAAUAAUCUCUAACAAGCUCUGUCUGUUUCCUUAUGCUCUGGUUUGGAUCACUGAGAUCGUCUGAUGGGGCACUUCUGGUGGUUCCCGAUGCCCAUGGAGUUUGAGUGGCCUUUACUAGGGACUGAGACUUUAGUGUGUCAGCCCUGCUCCGUGGAACUCCUUGCUAGUAGAGACUUGGCAAUUUUCAUUCCUGCUGCCUUUUGGAUGCCUUUUAAAAAUGAUUUUAGUCAGACCUUUGCCACAGGAAUUUCUUUUCACUAACCAGUAUUGAUGUUUUACCUGAUGUUUUAAUUGACAUUUUUAUUCUCCUUAUUGUAAUUCUGUAUGCUGUAUUCCACCUUCUGCCCUGCUGUGGAAGUGUAGUCUAUAAAUAUUUUAAUAAAUACACAAUUGACAA